AUGAUAACGGUGAUACAAGAAGAGGGUGGAAAAAGGUGGAAGAAGAUGCCAAGAUUGAAGAGAAUUUCUCAGAGAGAAAGAUUAAAGAAUUUUAUGGUUUUCAGUGGCUUUUUCCGAGUGAGACUGAAGAAGCCCAUUCAAAGGAUUGGAGAGUUUCAGAUAUUUUCCCUUUUUCUUUUGAACCGUGAAGAAUCCAUCUAA